UCCUAUAGAACUUACCUUUCACUUAGUUAAAGAUCUUCCGAUCACAUAAAACAUCUGUUGCAGUCCUAUAUUUCUUUUUCUAGUAAAAUUUAUGUAAUUUCUUUAUAUUGAUUUGUAAGUAAGAACAUAAUUCACAAGCACGGCUAUUGUUAUCUAUCCAAUGACAUAUAGAAAGUAAUUGACCCUUAUGGUAUCUGAAUUCACAACAUAAUUGUUCAAUGACAAUUCUAUAGUAAUGAUCUCAUCUUCUAGUUUCUCAAUAUGAGUCA
rnacentral:misc_RNA from 1 species